rnacentral:rRNA from 1 species
UUAAUAGGGCGUUUAGUUGCUGGGUGUAGACCCGAAACCAGGCGAUCUAUCCAUGAGCAGGUUGAAGGUUGGGUAACACUAACUGGAGGACCGAACCCACUGUCGUUGAAAAGCCAGGGGAUGACUUGUGGAUAGGGGUGAAAGGCUAAUCAAGCCUGGUGAUAGCUGGUUCUCCCCGAAAGCUAUUUAGGUAGCGCCUCGGACGAAUACCAUUGGGGGUAGAGCACUGUUUCGGCUAGGGGGUCAUCCCGACUUACCAAACCGAUGCAAACUCCGAAUACCGAAGAGUGUUAUCCGGGAGACAGACGGCGGGUGCUAACGUCCGUCGUCAAGAGGGAAACAACCCAGACCGCCAGCUAAGGUCCCAAAGUCAUGGUUAAGUGGGAAACGAUGUGGGAAGGCCCAGACAGCCAGGAUGUUGGCUUAGAAGCAGCCAUCAUUUAAAGAAAGCGUAAUAGCUCACUGAUCGAGUCGUCCUGCGCGGAAGAUGUAACGGGGCUAAGCCAGUUACCGAAGCUGCGGAUGUGCAAUUUAUUGCACGUGGUAGGAGAGCGUUCUGUAAGCCUGUGAAGGUGUCUGGUAACGGAUGCUGGAGGUAUCAGAAGUGCGAAUGCUGACAUGAGUAACGACAAAACGGGUGAAAAACCCGUUCGCUGAAAGACCAAGGGUUCCAGUUCAACGUUAAUCGGGGCUGGGUGAGUCGACCCCUAAGGCGAGGCCGAGAGGCGUAGUCGAUGGGAAAUUGGUUAAUAUUCCAAUACUUCUGUGUAAUGCGAUGAGAGGACGGAGAAGGUUAAGUCAGCCUGGCGUUGGUUGUCCAGGUGGAAGGUUGUAGGCAUGUAUCUUAGGCAAAUCCGGGGUACUCUAUGCUGAGAACUGAUAGCAAGCUGUACUUGUACAGUGAAGUGGCUGAUACCAUGCUUCCAGGAAAAGUCUCUAAGCUUCAGUUACACAGGAAUCGUACCCGAAACCGACACAGGUGGUCAGGUCGAGUAGACCAAAGCGCUUGAGAGAACUCUGCUGAAGGAACUAGGCAAAAUGGUACCGUAACUUCGGGAGAAGGUACGCUGCUGACGGUGAUGGGACUUGCUCCCUGAGCGGUUGGCAGCCGCAGAAACCAGGCCGCUGCAACUGUUUAUUAAAAACAUAGCACUCUGCAAACACGAAAGUGGACGUAUAGGGUGUGAUGCCUGCCCGGUGCUGGAAGGUUAAUUGAUGGGGUUAGCGUAAGCGAAGCUCUUGAUCGAAGCCCCAGUAAACGGCGGCCGUAACUAUAACGGUCCUAAGGUAGCGAAAUUCCUUGUCGGGUAAGUUCCGACCUGCACGAAUGGCGUAACGAUGGCCACACUGUCUCCUCCUGAGACUCAGCGAAGUUGAAAUGUUUGUGAUGAUGCAAUCUCCCCGCGGAAAGACGGAAAGACCCCAUGAACCUUUACUGUAGCUUUGUAUUGGACUUUGAACGGAUCUGUGUAGGAUAGGUGGGAGGCUUUGAAGUGAGGUCGCUAGAUCUCAUGGAGCCAACGUUGAAAUACCACCCUGGUGCGUUUGAGGUUCUAACCUAGGUCCAUUAGCUGGAUCGGGGACAGUGCAUGGUAGGCAGUUUGACUGGGGCGGUCUCCUCCCAAAGCGUAACGGAGGAGUUCGAAGGUACGCUAGUUACGGUCGGACAUCGUGACGAUAGUGCAAUGGCAUAAGCGUGCUUAACUGCGAGACUGACAAGUCGAGCAGAUGCGAAAGCAGGACAUAGUGAUCCGGUGGUUCUGUAUGGAAGGGCCAUCGCUCAACGGAUAAAAGGUACUCUGGGGAUAACAGGCUGAUACCGCCCAAGAGUUCAUAUCGACGGCGGUGUUUGGCACCUCGAUGUCGGCUCAUCUCAUCCUGGGGCUGUAGUCGGUCCCAAGGGUAUGGCUGUUCGCCAUUUAAAGAGGUACGUGAGCUGGGUUUAAAACGUCGUGAGACAGUUUGGUCCCUAUCUUCCGUGGGCGCUGCAGAUUUGAGGAAGCCUGCUCCUAGUACGAGAGGACCGGAGUGGACACACCUCUGGUGUAUCGGUUGUCACGCCAGUGGCAUUGCCGAGUAGCUAAGUGUGGAAGAGAUAACCGCUGAAAGCAUCUAAGCGGGAAACUCGUUUCAAGAUGAGAUCUGCCGGGGCCUUGAGCCCCCUGAAGGGUCGUUGUAGACCACGACGUUGAUAGGCUGGGUGUGGAAGUGCAGCAAUGCAUUAAGCUAACCAGUACUAAUUGCCCGUGCGGCUUGACCCU